rnacentral:rRNA from 1 species
AUGAUGGUCAGGUUUCAUAUGAGAGAUCUUGGCUUACUCAGUUUCUACCUGGGCAUAGAGGUGAAGCAGGGGGCCCGGGAGAUCACUCUGUCGCAGGCGGCGUACGCUGGUGACCUCUUGGAGCGGGCGGGCAUGGCAGACUGCAAUCCAACGCACAUUCCCAUGGAGCCACGCCUCAAGCUGAGCAAGGAGGGGCCAGAACCGCGUGUGGAUGCCACGGACUACCACAACAUCAUCGGAGGGCUCCACUACCUCACCCACACGCAGCCGGACAUCACCUUCGCAGUGGGAUACCUGAGCCGCUUCAUGGAGGCGCCGACCACGGCACAUCUGGCCGCAGUCAAGCAUUUGCUUCGCUACAUUUCUGGCACCCGCGGGUAUGGGUGCAGGUAUAUCAAGGGCGGCAAUGACGAGCUCGUUGGAUACAGCGACUCGGACAUGGCCCGUGACAUUGACGAUCGCGAGAGCACGUCCGACAACCUCUUCUUCCUUGGAGGAGCGCCGAUCACUUGGCAAUCGCAGAAGCAGAAGAUUGUCGCGCUGUCCUCAUGUGAAGCUGAGUACGUGGCCGCAACGACUGUGGCGUGCCAGGGCAUCUGGCUGAGCAGGCGUGACUUGCUCAUGGAGGAGGCCGGCGCCAUCACCAUUCUCAUCGACAAGAAGUUGGCCAUCCAGCUGUGCAAAACCCCGUCUUUCACAACCGAAGCAAGCACAUCGAUCGUUCGGUUUCACUUUAUUUGA